CCUUUUGGUAAGGGACUGCGAGACGGCACGGCACUUAUCCCGGGACCUUCGAGCAAGCAAGAGUAAUCAUUUAACGCUGAACAUCGGACCGAUUUCUGACGAGUUGAGCACUUGUUCAAGAUUAAUAUGGCAGUCGAGUCCUCCGCGCUGGAUACCUGAUCUAUGGAAUUGCUGUUCCGUCCAAAGGAGCGAUCCUGUCGACGAAACGAGCGAUUCAGAGACGACUUCAACGAUCGAGGUCCAGUCAACGGCAGCCAGUGAUCCAAGGCCAACUCCUACACACCAGAUCCAGCCAAAGAUCGCGACAGAUUGUCCGUUGAUACAAAUCUCCGGAGAACAAUAUUUCCGGUGAAGUCUCAAUUGGUCGCGGUUACCGCAAACGGAAGGAAGCAAAGAAUGGGAAGCUGCGACGAAAUGCGAACAAUUCGUUGAAUGCGAACGUACUCUGAUCGUCCAGGAUACCGACGUCGGUGCUGACGUUGACGACGCUGUCCUGUCGUGUCAGGAAGUGAAACGCGAGAAACAACAUUGUCGGCGGAGUCAAGUUAUUGGAAACUUUUCCAACAAGGGACAAACGCUGCAGCGUGAACGCUACAGUGAUAGCGACACCGGUACCACGGGGUGGACUGAAGUGGUUACGAACGCCGAUCAAGCUCUUAUACCUAGCGUUGGAGCGCAAGCGCUCAUCGAACUCCACCGCCUAGGGAUGGGCUGUUCUUCGAUGAAAAGUCCUGUAACCUAUCUCUGGGUGACGUGGGUCAACGUGUUAAAGAAGAGCCAUGGUAUAAUAGAGAAUAAAUCCUUGGCCCAGGGCAAACCCGUGACAUCGUUACAUUAAACUUCACCUGUAAGAAAUAACCCACGGGAAACGUCCCUAACGCUGCUGAAGGCGAGUUGAACGAGGUUUGGAGUACCCGUCCUCGAUGGCUUGUAUAACGACGAGAGGGCUAGUUAUUACAAUCAUCGCGCCCCUGUUUGAGUAGCGCUGGGAAAAGGAUAACACAGUUCAGCGGUCCUCAGACCUAAGAGGUUAUAGGCUUUAAGGUCUCGGUACUCUAGUGUGCUACGUGCGGAACUUAGUCACUAAUUGCUACAAUACAUACUCGUAUGAUCGUCACAUAAAUUGCCGUACGAUGAGGGUCUCGAUAUUGGACAUUCUACCUUUAGGCUUCAUCUAUUCGCUUAAUGCUUAUUAAAACAGUCGACGUGCGCACUCUUACUGUAACUAUUGAGUUGUUUGCAAUGGAAUUUUAUUCUUUGUUCGUAAAAAUAAAAUAGUUUCUUCAUACAGUA